rnacentral:lncRNA from 1 species
GGACAGGCAGCUAGCCUCCCCUGGGGCAGGCAGGGACCAGAAGAGCCUCCAGAGGGUCUUGUAGAACAGAGGCAGAGCAGGAGAGGACAGAAAGGACAGGGAGACAACCAAGGAGGCCCUGAAGAGACUGAAUGGGAGAGUGUGACUGCUCCCUGCAAACCCUCCCCAUGUCUGGACUGAGGAAAUAGCUCGAAGCACCAUCCAUCUCCUGGUGGAGCAGCAGCAGCGUCCAGAGGCUGGGGGCUGAGGCUCCUUGUUUCCAACAAGCUCCUAGGUGAUGGAUGCUGCUGGCAGGUGCACCACACUGAGUUGCAAGACUCCUCCCUCCAGGCACCCCCUUCACAGGUUCAGCAUCCUCGCUGCCAUCUCCUCACAAAUGCGGGAAGGGAGCCACCACCCCAGGCUGGGCUAACUCGCAUGAGGACACCACUAACAUUGUCUGCGUUUCAUUUACGUUAGACAGGCAGGUCUACAAUGUUUGAAGUUUACAGAUUUCUUGGAUAUAGCAGUGAAAGCUUUGUAUUUUUUAUCUGUAAGGAAAAAUUGUGAAGUUUACAUCAUUGCAAAAUAAACAGAACUGUGACUUCUGUUUCACAA